GCGGCGGACGGGUGAGUAAUGCUUAGGAAUCUGCCUAUUAGUGGGGGACAACAUUCCGAAAGGAAUGCUAAUACCGCAUACGCCCUACGGGAGAAAGCAGGGGAUCUUCGGACCUUGCGCUAAUAGAUGAGCCUAAGUCGGAUUAGCUAGUUGGUGGGGUAAAGGCCUACCAAGGCGACGAUCUGUAGCGGGUCUGAGAGGAUGAUCCGCCACACUGGGACUGAGACACGGCCCAGACUCCUACGGGAGGCAGCAGUGGGGAAUAUUGGACAAUGGGCGAAAGCCUGAUCCAGCCAUGCCGCGUGUGUGAAGAAGGCCUUUUGGUUGUAAAGCACUUUAAGCGAGGAGGAGGCUCUCUUAGUUAAUACUCUAAGAUGAGUGGACGUUACUCGCAGAAUAAGCACCGGCUAACUCUGUGCCAGCAGCCGCGGUAAUACAGAGGGUGCGAGCGUUAAUCGGAUUUACUGGGCGUAAAGCGUGCGUAGGCGGCUUUUUAAGUCGGAUGUGAAAUCCCCGAGCUUAACUUGGGAAUUGCAUUCGAUACUGGGAAGCUAGAGUAUGGGAGAGGAUGGUAGAAUUCCAGGUGUAGCGGUGAAAUGCGUAGAGAUCUGGAGGAAUACCGAUGGCGAAGGCAGCCAUCUGGCCUAAUACUGACGCUGAGGUACGAAAGCAUGGGGAGCAAACAGGAUUAG
rnacentral:rRNA from 1 species